rnacentral:rRNA from 1 species
AUUGAACGCUGGCGGCAGGCCUAACACAUGCAAGUCGAACGAGUGGCGGACGGGUGAGUAAUGUCUGGGAAACUGCCUGAUGGAGGGGGAUACUACUGGAAACGGUUAGUAAUACCGGAUACCCACCGAUGGGCACAGAUGGGGUUGACUUGUUGGGUGGGUAACGGUUCACCAAGGCGACGAUCCCUAGCUGGUCUGAGAGGAUGACCAGCCACACUGGAACUGAGACACGGUCCAGAGUCCUACGGGAGGCAGCAGUGGGGAAUAUUGCACAAUGGGCGCAAGCCUGAUGCAGCCAUGCCGCGUGUAUGAAGAAGGCCUUCGGGUUGUAAAGUACUUUCAGCGGGGAGGCGUUACCCGCAGAAGAAGCACCGGCUAACUCCGUGCCAGCCGCCGCGGUAAUAC